rnacentral:rRNA from 1 species
UGGCGGACGGGUGAGUAACGCGUGGAUAACCUGCCGUAGUACCGGGGGAUAACACUUAGAAAUAGGUGCUAAUACCGCAUAAGCGCACGGCUCCGCAGUGGGGCAGUGUAGAAAACUCCGGUGGUAUACGAUGGAUCCGCGUCUGAUUAGCUAGUUGGCGGGGUAACGGCCCACCAAGGCAGCGAUCAGUAGCCGGCCUGAGAGGGUGGACGGCCACAUUGGGACUGAGACACGGCCCAAACUCCUACGGGAGGCAGCAG